rnacentral:rRNA from 1 species
UACGAAGGGGGGCUAGCGUUGCUCGGAAUGACUGGGCGUAAAGGGCGCGUAGGCGGCUUGCACAGUCAGGCGUGAAAUUCCUGGGCUCAACCUGGGGACUGCGCUUGAGACGUGUGGGCUUGAGUGGGGGAAGAGGGUCGUGGGAAUUCCCGAGUGUCAGAGGUGAAAUUCGUAGAUAUUGGGAAGAACACCGGUGGCGAAGGCGGCCGUGGCUGGGCAGUGAGC